CCCCAGAGUGCAGUCUGGACGAUGAGGCGGGGCGACACUUCGAGGCGGAGCGACACGUGUCGCCCCGCCCAUUUUUGUUUUCCCCGCCUUUGACAUUUUCCUCCGAGCCAGCAGGGGGCAGUUUGCGUUGAAACAAACAGAACGGUGGCAACUACAGCAGCAGAGUAAUAACGCUAUUCCGUUGAUUGCUUGAGGUGAGUAAAAGUGCUUGUGUAAAUAUCUUAUAAUAUGAAAUGCAAUGUUCGAUCAUUUAUUUAUCCAUGGUACGUUCAAUUUGAAUAAUUAUUGUUAAUAAUUGUUAUAAAUUGCUAAUUUUAUUGUUCUUUGUGGAUUGUAACAGUACACUCUGUACAUGGCUUUAGUUCAUUCGAUUUUACAGAGGAUGACAUGAUCAGGAGAUGGUGGUGUUCUGUUCUCCUGGACAGCUUUACUCCGCAAAUAGCUCAACCAUUGAGGGGAGGAACUUCACCAUUCACCAUGUCUUCAGGCAGAGUCCAGCAAAGCAGCUUCCACUGGAAAUCCUCAGGGAAGUUAUUUUGUCAGCGGGUGACUCGCAUAUUUGACACUUUCUCUGGUUUGCAGAUGGUUUAGGGAUGUGCUCCGAAGUUUUUCGGAAAGCGGCACAGUUUGCCUGGCUAGACAUUGUGGCCAACUGGAAGAAUUGUACUCCUGUCUCAUGACCGGAACGAGUUCAGACGGAUGUACAGCAUCAGGGAAUGGUUGCAGUGCAGAGCCCUUUUCAAGUUUAACCCACCAGGGUACAGAGAAGAGACCGGCGUGGUGAUCUUCUGGGCUUUUGUUUACACAGGAUUUUGUUCCAAGGACUGUUUUUUUGUUUUGUUUGUUUUUUUUUGCGGCAUGAAACACAUUUGUGUGUUAAGUUCAUUGAAGGGAAAUAGAGAAUGGACUGAGAUCAACUGGUUUUGAUGUAUUAAUUGAUGUAAUUUAAAGUUAAACUUCGCAGUGUAUAAUGUUUUAAUAAAAAAGCUAUGGAAAACA